GGGUCAACAUGUAGGCCUAACCUGUCUGUCUACCUGGAAAUACUGGGAUACCAGAGGUGAUCCAGGCUCACUUCAUCACCCUUCUCUAGGCUCCUUGACACCAGAGAAAAUAAGCAAAGACUCGGUUCAUUGUCCUGCAGUUUCUCCCAAGCUCUCAGACUCCUUUGUAAGGUUUAUCUGCUUACGUGGAGGGGGAGGCGAUGGCCAGCCCUGAAAUGAAGUGCCUGAAUCCCAGGUGUGAUCUCUGUAAGAUCAAUUCGGACAUCUCUUAGGAGCACUCCAGAAUGUACGACAUGUUUCUAAAUAAAGGAGAAGGGGGCAGGUGGAGGCCACGUGAGAGAUGGACUGAAAGGCACCUGGACACUGGCUGCAGGAUCCAGAGGUUCAGGUCGGACGUCUGCACCGAAGGAAGACGCUGGGGAGCCAGUGAAGGUGGCUGAGCAGGCUGAACAUAACACCUUAAUUUUGAAGACAGUUACCCAGGUUUCCAGUUCAGGUCUAUCCUGUGCACCUAACUUCUCCCAGGAAUAUAUCACAGCUUCAUCUUCAUGCAUCGCACCGGUCCACCUUUCUUGGAGAGCAGGAUUAUUUGAUGUCGAGGAGGGCCCAAGAAACUUCACUGAAGAUUGAGAUGAAACCAAGUUCUCUGAGGCAUGGGGCAAAGGAAUAGCUAUAAAGGAGACCUGAAGAAAACAAAGUUUCUGAUUUAUGGGAGAAUUUUUGUGGAUGAGGAAUACAAUUUCCCUUGAUGAAGUACUGCCCCAUUCUGCUGAUAAUCUGUGUGAUUGUUUCCGGGGAGAUCAAAGGAUAUAGCAGGACCAACAUUUAAUUCUGGAAUCAGGAUCUCAGAGUUCACCAUCUUGGACUCAUGAAAUUGGGAACAAAGGAAGCCUGAAUGUUUCACCGGUCUCUCUGGUUGGAUGAAGUCUGCAUGCUAUGCAGCAUGUGGGGUCUUAGCUUCUAGACCAGAGAUCGAACCUAUGCCCCAACAGUAGAGGUUCAGAGCCUUAAUCACUAGGGAAGUCCUGGAGAUGGAGUCUUUAAAGUGGUAAUUAAGUUAACAUGAGACCAUUAGAUUGUGUCCUAAUCCAAUAGGCAGGUAUGCCUAUAAGAAGGAGAUUAGGACACAGACAUACAGAGGGAAGACCACGUGAGGAACCAGCUAGAAGGCAGUCACAUGCAAG
ensembl:lncRNA